rnacentral:lncRNA from 1 species
GGCUGAAAAAAAUAACAACUAUCACAAACAUGAAGGGAAAAAGAAAAAAAAAAAAGGCAUAUCGUUCCGGUACACCAAUAAAUCUCACAUUAUUUGGAAGAAUCUCUACACUUCUCAUCCCCUCAGACGCCUUUUUUUAAAGACAAAACCGUGCGAACUUACAGAAGACCCUAAAGGCAGACAAUACUUCAGAAAUGUGGUUUGAUGUCGGAACAAAUAUACAAGUCUAGCCACUUCCACCAAGAACACUCUUAAGCUUCUUGACAAGAACAGGAUCAAGGAAAGUAGUCUUUGUAAUCAAAGGAGUAGAGAAAUUACUUGCAAAAAGUGCAAAAUCAAGAAUUUGAAGACCAGGACUAGUACUACUAAAAAUAACAAAACCAACAGCAUUUCUCUUACCAGCACCAACUUGAAAAUGCAACAAACCUUGUGGAAAAACCAUAAUCUCACCUUUCUUCAAUGUCUUAACAUAAACAGUGCUAGCUGAUGAAACAAAUCCAGCAGUGAUGUGACCUUGUGUCACAACAAGAAGUUCAUUAGCACCUGGAUGAGUAUGCAAAGGGAUAACACCGCCAACAGCAAUGUCUAACCUUCCUGCAGAGAGACCAAGACCAUUAACACCUGGAAAUUGUCCAACAAAUGCAGGCGUAACAGCGGCGCUGAUUAUGUUUGUUGUGUUUCCUGGUGCAAUUAGGCCAGAAAAUGCAAAAUCAUCUACAGUUACUGUUGCAGCUGGCUUGCAAGGGUAGCCUGAAGGGGUGUCUGGGGCUUUGAGAUCUGCUACACAGAAAUCUUGGUUUGCAGCAUUGGAAAUGGAUAGGAAAAGAGAUAGGAGGAAAAUUAUUUGAAACAUGUUUGUUUGUGUUUGAUUAUAU